UACGUAGGGCGCAAGCGUUAUCCGGAAUUAUUGGGCGUAAAGAGCUCGUAGGCGGUCUGUCGCGUCUGCUGUGAAAACUCGGGGCUUAACCCCGGGCCUGCAGUGGGUACGGGCAGACUAGAGUGCGGUAGGGGAGACUGGAAUUCCUGGUGUAGCGGUGAAAUGCGCAGAUAUCAGGAGGAACACCGGUGGCGAAGGCGGGUCUCUGGGCCGGCACUGACGCUGAGGAGCGAAAGCGUGGGGAGCGAACAGG
rnacentral:rRNA from 1 species